rnacentral:rRNA from 1 species
UGCGGAGGAUGCGAGCGUUAUCCAGAUUUAUUGGGUUUAAAGGGUGCGUAGGCGGAUCGUUAAGUCAGUGGUCAAAUUGAGGGGCUCAACCCCUUCCCGCCAUUGAAACUGGCGAUCUUGAGUGGAAGAGAAGUAUGCGGAAUGCGUGGUGUAGCGGUGAAAUGCAUAGAUAUCACGCAGAACCCCGAUUGCGAAGGCAGCAUGCCGGCUUCCUACUGACGCUGAAGCACGAAAGCGUGGGGAUCGAACAGG